GGAGCCAGAACCCUGGUUCCUGUGACUGAAGCUGGCUCAAGGAUACAGCCCUGGGUGGUACUGUGCCUCCCUUCUGUCCUGGCAUAGGAAGCACAAGGGCACUUCAAGCUCUACAACCCAGAUCAGCAUAAAUCUUGGAAUUUCUUGUGGACCAAGAGUGACACACGUGAAACAAACUCACUUCUCAGCUGGUAACUCAAACAAUGAGUUGGUUUCAGAGACUAUUUACAAACUCUGGAGAAGGUAAGUUUUAUUUUUGUUACUGCUAUAACCACAAGGUACAAAGCCAGGGGUUGGGGCUGUUACUUUUAGAUCUGCCCAAACUGUCUAUUCAUUCCCUAGUUAGUGAUCUUUAAGCAGUUUUUACCUCACGAAUCUAUUUCUCAUUAUAUGUUGAUUUUUUUCUUCCACCUCAUUCUUCUAUCUCACUUCUUUCAGUACACUUUAAUUUUUGGAUACUAUCACUCUUCCCGUAUUUCUCUUCUUUGGAUCUGUGAUGCUUUUGGUAAUAUGCUUCUUGCAUAUUCUGGGUCUUUUUCUCUUUACUCCAAACUCACAAUUCAAACUCCUUGAGUAAUCUCACUCUAAUCCAUUUUUUUUAUAUUCUAAAAAUAUUGAAAAAUCACCUUGUAAAAUUGAAAACCAAUACUCUCAUACUGGGCAUAGUAAUGAAAUAAAAUCUUUUAAAUAAUACAUUGACAAGGAAUUAUAGGUGGGUAUUAAUGUGCAUGAUCAAAAAUCAUAAUGUGCAUUUAUUUGGAGGUUCUGAGAGUGGAGUAGAAAUCCAGUCUCUAGUGACUAUAAUUCUGAUUCCUAUUAAGUACUGAGAAAUAUAUAAAAUGAGACUUUGGACAAGUGAUGAACCUUUUCUGUCUUGAAAAAUGAUGAUUUGAUCAAGUGUGUAAGUCACCAGUGUAUAUUCACAUACAACUGGUGAAUGAGGAAAAGUUUGCCCCAAUAAGAAAAACUAUUUCUUGCCAUUAGUGGGGUAUAUUCAAGUCACCCUCACGUAAGAUUUAUGUACUCUUUCCACCUACAGAGAUACGGUUUUCACUGGGAACUGCUUGAAGCUUCCUCUGAGAGUAGACAUGCUGUCUUCACUUGCUCUCAUUCAUGUGAACUAACACAGUCAGGGUUAGACCCACAAAGUCCUUUAUCAAUUGACCCAAGCUCUCUCCAGUAUCAAUUCAGUGUUUUCAUUUCUGGAGAGAGAUGGGGGGUUGUCUGAACUCUGGUGGAGGCCCAAGCUUGGCUCUGUAUCUAGAGUGUCCUUGAAAUGAAGGAACAAAGAAGCUGCAUUGGUUGGUCAGUGAGUCAUAAACAUAUCAAGAGUGAAUAUUUUCCAAUCUCUGUCUUGGAAUAAUUUAUGCAAUAUCAGUCAGGCCAUAUAUAUUUCCAUCCUGAUAGUAAUCAUAUAUUGUCAUUUCAUGUGUAAGAAACCACAUGAAGAUAGUCAGAGUCAUCUUGUGAGCUAAAGGGAGCAUCCCCCCCACUCCUUAAAAGAGUUUACCCUUGAGUUGAGAACAGAGAAGGGCACACUCUGAGUUUCUCAGUGCAGAAGUAAUCUCCAAGCAAGAGAUGUCAGUGUGCUUUUCUGUGGUCAUGUUUCAGCUGGAGUUCUCUGCUUAGUGCUGGGAUACUGAAUUUGAAAAAAAAAUUAAAUAAGAGGAACAUGUCAGAGGUAUAAUAUACAGAAUUGUGAAGGGUCUAAACACUUGGAAUAAGAUGGAAUUUUCUAAGGACAUUUAACUUUGAAUGGAGACAAUUUUGGAGAAGGUAAAGGCUGUUUUCAAAUGUUGGAAGUCCUUAAUAUUCAGCAAUCAGAAUAAGUAUUGAAAAUUUUGGAGUUCCCAUUGUGGCACAGUGGAAACGAAUCUGACUAGGAACCAUGAGGUUGAGGGUUCGAUCCCUGGCCUUGCUCAGUGGGUUAAGGACCCAGGGUUGCUAUGAGCUGUGGUGUAGG
rnacentral:lncRNA from 1 species